rnacentral:sRNA from 1 species
UGUUGCCCAUGCUCCGGCAAGCAACUCCAAUUGGCUCUCCAUGCUACAGACUUGAAGGAAUCCUUCCUUUGAUCUUUCAGGAACAGAGGACGACAUGACAAUGUUAUAGCUCUGAUCACUUUGUAGAGUGGGGAGGCCAUGCAAACGAGGAGCCAUCAGAGACUUGGACAACGAAAUCUCCGGCAGACCCAAGGAACUCUGGGCGAGCCUCAGGCAGUCAGCUUGAAGCGCGAUGACUACUAAUUGGCUGUGCUGUGUCUGACUUUAGGAUUCCUGGCAGUAAAGGACAAGAUGAAGCCAUGUUGUUUUAAGAGGUUUGUGCCUUAAUGAGGAGCAGCACAACUGCAUUUUCAGGGAUGACCUGGAUGACACGCUGGGGAUCGUGACUUGAAGCCCUGCAGAAAAGGUUUCAUUGCAUCUGUGCAGAAAUCAGAUGGCGAUCGUUGACUGAUGCUCCCUGAGCCCAGGACAGGUAAUACAGAUGGACGCUCAGUCACUCACUCUCAGCACCUUGACCACAAGUCUCCGGAUUUAUCACAUUUGCUGAGAAGAAGCUUCGUGGACCAAGGCUGGGGGCCUCACUGGUCUGCAGGUAGCAUACACAUUAGGUAUUUGACCUUAAGUA